rnacentral:rRNA from 1 species
AAAGUUUUUUCGGCCAGGGAUGUGCUCGCGGCCUAUCAGCUUGUUGGUGGGGUAAUGGCCUACCAAGGCUUCGACGGGUAGCCGGCCUGAGAGGGUGACCGGCCACACUGGGACUGAGACACGGCCCAGACUCCUACGGGAGGCAGCAGUGGGGAAUAUUGGACAAUGGGCGAAAGCCUGAUCCAGCAACGCCGCGUGAGGGAUGACGGCCUUCGGGUUGUAAACCUCUUUCAGUACCGACGAAGCGCCGAUGAUGGUGGUGACGGUAGGUACAGAAGAAGCACCGGCCAACUACGUG